rnacentral:ncRNA from 2 species
CUCAGACAGAAAUAUGACAGCCUCUGCGCUGUCGGAUGAGCAGGCUGCGAGGAAGUCAGGUGAGAAUCCUGCACAAUACCCGUUGCUGUAUUGGAGGAGCGGUGUCUCAUUAGAAACGUCACUGGAACUUAUGUUCCGGGAAGGCAGAGACAUAUGCGAUGAUACCUAAGUCAGAAUAUUCGCUUUUAAAUGGAUCUGGGG